GAAAUUGACACCUUAACUUUGAGGGCCAAUAAUUCCUUCAUAAAAACUCUAAAUCAUACAAAAUUUACAUCUAAUUUGUAUCCAAAACCUAAACUUAAUGAUCCUAGCCUCCAAAGCUCGAAUGUCUUGCAAAGAGAAAUCCCAAUCUCUAAUAAGACCUUAGGCAACCUCCUUGAAGUCCAUUGGGCAUAGCCUUCGACCAAUAGGAAUGAAGAUUCUCAUUCUUUGCUUUCAUCCAACUAUGCCUUACUUUCAUCCCUCCUAAUAAGCCUCCUAAUAGUUAAGAUUUUUAUCUUUAGACUCUUAUCUCUUCUCAAGGCUUCAUACUAAAUAUUUACGUCCUAUAAUUUUUUUAAAUGCUAUAAUCAAAAUAGAUAA
rnacentral:lncRNA from 1 species